CACCUCUGCUCCGUGUAUAUCGGCUGACCAUGGCAGAGAAGCAGCAGCAGACCCAGCAGCCCUCCUCGCAGGUGCUGGCGGUGGCCACGCUCUUCCCCGUCGGUGGCGUCCUCCUCGUCCUCUCCGGGCUCACCCUGACGGCCACCGUCAUCGCGCUGGCCGCUGCCACGCCGCUGCUGGUCAUCUUCAGCCCCGUCCUCGUGCCCGCGGCCCUCGUGGUCGCCCUCGCCGCCGCCGGCUUCCUCGCUUCCGGCGCCUUCG
rnacentral:lncRNA from 1 species